AAAGAGAACACAGAUCAGGGAAGACAUCUCUUUCUCUAUCUGGGACCGCUGGACUGUGUGGGGUCACCAACACUUCUCCCUCUCGGACUUCAUCAACGCAGUGCUGGUGAAUUAUGGGAUAGAACCUACCAUGGUUGUCCAUGGAGUGAAGAUGCUCUAUGUUCCUGUGAUGCCAGGACACAACAAGAGACUGAAACUAACGAUGCAGAAGUUGAUCAAACCGUCUGUAGACCGUCGCUAUGUUGACCUGACCGUGUCCUUCGCUCCAGAGUCAGAUGGUGAUGAGGACCUUCCUGGACCCCCCGUUAGGUACUACUUCAGCCCCGACGGAGACGCUCACACCGCCUGACACGCCCGGACCAUAACAUCCCUGACGCCCCUCCAACUAACCAAAUAUAACCACCCCUCAGUCCCCUCAAACUAACCCUCUGUACCUGCAAAACCCUAGUUGACAACAGUGGUGCUUCUUGAACAGGGGUGGAUUCUAGAACAGGGGUGGAUUCUAGAACAGGGGUGGAUUCUAGAACAGGGGUGGAUUCUAGAACAUAUGUUGAUUCUAGAACAGGGGUGGAUUCUAGAAUAUAUGUUGAUUCUAGAACAGAUGGUGAUUCUAGAACAGAUGGUGAUUCUAGAACAGAUGGUGAUUCUAGAACAGGGCUGGCCCCAUGUACCAUUAUUAGAGAAGGAGCAUAGAGGUAGAAAGAGGGCUGUAGAUGGAUAUAACCUGGUCUGAUAUGAGUUCUCUUUCUACCUCUAUGAGAAGAGGGAAGCACUUGGCUGUGUACAUAGUAGUCCCUCUGUGUUUUCUACUCUGGUUUAAAACACAACUCUGACUGGUGUUUUCUACUCUGGUUUAAAGCACAGCUCUGACUGGUGUUUUCUACUCUGGUUUAAAAGCACAGCUCAGACUGCUAUGCACAUGCCUUAACUAACAACCUUGUUGUGUUUGUCAUGAUGAUGAUGAUGAUGAGAUGAUGAAAUAAAGACGACCGUGUUUACACACCCAUACAUA